AUUGAACGCUGGCGGCAGGCUUAACACAUGCAAGUCGAGCGGGGAAGGUUGCUUUGGUAACUGACCUAGCGGCGGACGGGUGAGUAAUGCUUAGGAAUCUGCCUAUUAGUGGGGGACAACAUUCCGAAAGGAAUGCUAAUACCGCAUACGCCCUACGGGGGAAAGCAGGGGAUCUUCGGACCUCGCGCUAAUAGAUGAGCCUAAGUCGGAUUAGCUAGUUGGUGGGGUAAAGGCCUACCAAGGCGACGAUCUGUAGCGGGUCUGAGAGGAUGAUCCGCCACACUGGGACUGAGACACGGCCCAGACUCCUACGGGAGGCAGCAGUGGGGAAUAUUGGACAAUGGGCGGAAGCCUGAUCCAGCCAUGCCGCGUGUGUGAAGAAGGCCUUUUGGUUGUAAAGCACUUUAAGCGAGGAGGAGGCUCCUUUAGUUAAUACCUAAAGAGAGUGGACGUUACUCGCAGAAUAAGCACCGGCUAACUCUGUGCCAGCCGCCGCUGUAACAC
rnacentral:rRNA from 1 species